CCCUUAGAUGUCCGGGGCCGCACGCGCGCUACACUGAAGGAAUCAGCGUGGCUUUCUCCCUGACCCGAAAGGGUUGGGAAACCCGUUGAAUCUCCUUCGUGAUAGGGAUUGGGGCUUGAAAUUGUUCCCCAUGAACGAGGAAUUCCCAGUAAGCGCGAGUCAUAAGCUCGCGUUGAUCACGUCCCUGCCCUUUGUACACACCGCCCGUCGCUACUACCGAUUGAACGGUUUAGUGAGGGCCUCGGAUUGGUCUCGGCCCGCUCUUUACCGGGCGGCGCCGUUGGUCGAGAAGACGCUCGAACUUGAUCGUUUAGAGGAAGUAAAAGUCGUAACA
rnacentral:rRNA from 1 species